rnacentral:misc_RNA from 1 species
GUCCCAGCGCGCGGUGCUCCAGUGGCGUCUUCUCCUUGCUGUGCUCGCCGGAGCUCCUCCAGCUCGACCGCUCGGCUUCCCCUAGCCUCUUCCCCUGCGAGCUCGACUCCUGCUCGCCUAUGGAGUUCGCCCAGCUCCCUGCUCCGGUGACUAGGGCUCGGCGUCCGGCUCCCUGGAUGCUUGCCCUGCUCGCCGCCAUCCUGCUCGGCCAGCGCAUCCCUUCUCUGCUCUCUCUCUCUAUUCCCUGCUCACUGGCAGCCGACUCCCUCUACCUCCCAUGGACGCCAGCCGCGCCCCUGGUUCCUGCCUCUGCUCGCCGUGGAGUCUACGCGCGCGCUGCUCCCCUAUUGGCCGCGACGAGCUCGCCCUUUCUUCAGCCCGGUUUCUGUUUCUCAUCUGCUCCUGCGUCGCGCGCGAGUCCCUCUGGCCGUCUUCGCUCCCAGCGCCGCGCACACUGCUCCUUGGGGCUCGGCCGCGACCUCGCCGUCGUUCGGCAGCUCCAGCGCCUCUGUUCUUCCCUGCGCGCGCGUUCCAUCCCGCGCUCGGCGCUUUCCUGCUCCCAAGUCCGGUGCCCUGCCGAGCUUGACCCUUACCGUGCGCAUCUCAGCUGGUGCCCAUGGCCGCGCCCGGCUUCUUGCUCCACCCAUAGUCGAAGCUCCUUCCGGUUGCCGUCGCUCGUCGUCGUCUCUUCGUGCUGGACGACUAGUUUGCCGUGGUCGCGCGUAGUUCCCUGCUCGGCCAGGAUAGUCGCACCGUCGAUUCCGCUUGAGCCCCUUCGCGUUCGUCGAUGCCCCCUGGCUCGACUCUGCCUAGUUCGCGUCCUGCUCGCCUUUGCGUCGCGCGCGUAG